rnacentral:misc_RNA from 1 species
UGAAGAACGUAGCGAAAUGCGAUAAGUAAUGUGAAUUGCAGAAUUCAGUGAAUCAUCGAAUCUUUGAACGCACAUUGCGCCCGCCAGUAUUCUGGCGGGCAUGCCUGUUCGAGCGUCAUUUCAACCAUCAAGCCCCCCCGGCUUGUGUUGGGGACCUGCGGCUGCCGCAGGCCCUGAAAAGCAGUGGCGGGCUCGCUGUCACACCGAGCGUAGUAGAUCUCAUCUCGCUCAGGGCGUGCUGCGGGUUCCGGCCGUUAAACCACCUUCAUAACCCAAGGUUGACCUCGGAUCAGGUAGGAAGACCCGCUGAACUUAAGCAUAUCAAUAAGCGGAGGA